UACGAAGGGUGCAAGCGUUACUCGGAAUUACUGGGCGUAAAGGGUGCGUAGGUGGUUGUUUAAGUCUGUUGUGAAAGCCCCCCGGCUCAACUGGGGAGGGUCAUUCGAUACUGAUCGACUCGAAGGCAGGAGAGGGUAGUGGAAUUCCCGGUGUAGUGGUGAAAUGCGUAGAUAUGCGGAGGAACACCGAUGGCGAAGGCAAUCCCCUGGGCCUGUACUGACGCUCAUGCACGAAAGCGUGGGGAGCAAACAGG
rnacentral:rRNA from 1 species